GAUGAACGCUGGCGGCGUGCUUAACACAUGCAAGUCGAACGGAAAGGCUCCUGCUUGCAGGGGUACUCGAGUGGCGAACGGGUGAGUAACACGUGGGUGAUCUGCCCUGCACUUCGGGAUAAGCCUGGGAAACUGUGUCUAAUACCGGAUAGGACGAUGGUUUGGAUGCCAUUGUGGAAAGUUUUUCGGUGUGGGAUGAGCUCGCGGCCUAUCAGCUUGUUGGUGGGGUAAUGGCCUACCAAGGCGUCGACGGGUAGCCGGCCUGAGAGGGUGUACGGCCACAUUGGGACUGAGAUACGGCCCAGACUCCUACGGGAGGCAGCAGUGGGGAAUAUUGCACAAUGGGCGCAAGCCUGAUGCAGCGACGCCGCGUGGGGGAUGACGGCCUUCGGGUUGUAAACUCCUUUCGUCAGGGACGAAGCGAAAGUGACGGUACCUGGAGAAGAAGCACCGGCUAACUACGUG
rnacentral:rRNA from 1 species